CGCCCGCAUGUAAUUCACAUGACAGUCGAACGGCAGCACGGGUGCUUGCACCUGGUGGCGAGUGGCGAACGGGUGAGUAAUACAUCGGAACAUGUCCUGUAGUGGGGGAUAGCCCGGCGAAAGCCGGAUUAAUACCGCAUACGAUCUACGGAUGAAAGCGGGGGACCUUCGGGCCUCGCGCUAUAGGGUUGGCCGAUGGCUGAUUAGCUAGUUGGUGGGGUAAAGGCCUACCAAGGCGACGAUCAGUAGCGGUCUGAGAGGACGACCAGCCACACUGGGACUGAGACACGGCCCAGACUCCUACGGGAGGCAGCAGUGGGGAAUUUUGGACAAUGGGCGAAAGCCUGAUCCAGCAAUGCCGCGUGUGUGAAGAAGGCCUUCGGGUUGUAAAGCACUUUUGUCCGGAAAGAAAUCCUGAGGGCUAAUAUCCUUCGGGGAUGACGGUACCGGAAGAAUAAGCACCGGCUAACUACGUGCCAGCAGCCGCGGUAAUACGUAGGCGUAGGGUGCGAGCGUUAAUCGGAAUUACUGGGCGUAAAGCGUGCGCAGGCGGUUUGUUAAGACCGAUGUGAAAUCCCCGGGCUCAACCUGGGAACUGCAUUGGUGACUGGCAAGCUAGAGUAUGGCAGAGGGGG
rnacentral:rRNA from 1 species